rnacentral:rRNA from 1 species
UUAAGCGACUAAGCGUACACGGUGGAUGCCCUGGCAGUCAGAGGCGAUGAAGGACGUGCUAAUCUGCGAUAAGCGUCGGUAAGGUGAUAUGAACCGUUAUAACCGGCGAUUUCCGAAUGGGGAAACCCAGUGUGAUUCGUCACACUAUCAUUAACUGAAUCCAUAGGUUAAUGAGGCGAACCGGGGGAACUGAAACAUCUAAGUACCCCGAGGAAAAGAAAUCAACCGAGAUUCCCCCAGUAGCGGCGAGCGAACGGGGAGCAGCCCAGAGCCUGAAUCAGUGUGUGUGUUAGUGGAAGCGUCUGGAAAGGCGCGCGAUACAGGGUGACAGCCCCGUACACAAAAAUGCACAUACUGUGAGCUCGAUGAGUAGGGCGGGACACGUGGUAUCCUGUCUGAAUAUGGGGGGACCAUCCUCCAAGGCUAAAUACUCCUGACUGACCGAUAGUGAACCAGUACCGUGAGGGAAAGGCGAAAAGAACCCCGGAGGGGAGUGAAAAAGAACCUGAAACCGUGUACGUACAAGCAGUGGGAGCACAGAGCAAUCUGUGUGACUGCGUACCUUUUGUAUAAUGGGUCAGCGACUUAUAUUCUGUAGCAAGGUUAACCGAAUAGGGGAGCCGAAGGGAAACCGAGUCUUAACUGGGCGUUAAGUUGCAGGGUAUAGACCGAAACCCGGUGAUCUAGCCAUGGGCAGGUUGAAGGUUGGGUAACACUAACUGGAGGACCGAACCGACUAAUGUUGAAAAAUUAGCGGAUGACUUGUGGCUGGGGGUGAAAGGCCAAUCAAACCGGGAGAUAGCUGGUUCUCCCCGAAAGCUAUUUAGGUAGCGCCUCGUGAAUUCAUCUCCGGGGGUAGAGCACUGUUUCGGCAAGGGGUCAUCCCGACUUACCAACCCGAUGCAAACUGCGAAUACCGGAGAAUGUUAUCACGGGAGACACACGGCGGGUGCUAACGUCCGUCGUGAAGAGGGAAACAACCCAGACCGCCAGCUAAGGUCCCAAAGUCAUGGUUAAGUGGGAAACGAUGUGGGAAGGCCCAGACAGCCAGGAUGUUGGCUUAGAAGCAGCCAUCAUUUAAAGAAAGCGUAAUAGCUCACUGGUCGAGUCGGCCUGCGCGGAAGAUGUAACGGGGCUAAACCAUGCACCGAAGCUGCGGCAGCGACGCUUAUGCGUUGUUGGGUAGGGGAGCGUUCUGUAAGCCUGUGAAGGUGUGCUGUGAGGCAUGCUGGAGGUAUCAGAAGUGCGAAUGCUGACAUAAGUAACGAUAAAGCGGGUGAAAAGCCCGCUCGCCGGAAGACCAAGGGUUCCUGUCCAACGUUAAUCGGGGCAGGGUGAGUCGACCCCUAAGGCGAGGCCGAAAGGCGUAGUCGAUGGGAAACAGGUUAAUAUUCCUGUACUUGGUGUUACUGCGAAGGGGGGACGGAGAAGGCUAUGUUGGCCGGGCGACGGUUGUCCCGGUUUAAGCGUGUAGGCUGGUUUUCCAGGCAAAUCCGGAAAAUCAAGGCUGAGGCGUGAUGACGAGGCACUACGGUGCUGAAGCAACAAAUGCCCUGCUUCCAGGAAAAGCCUCUAAGCAUCAGGUAACAUCAAAUCGUACCCCAAACCGACACAGGUGGUCAGGUAGAGAAUACCAAGGCGCUUGAGAGAACUCGGGUGAAGGAACUAGGCAAAAUGGUGCCGUAACUUCGGGAGAAGGCACGCUGAUAUGUAGGUGAAGUCCCUCGCGGAUGGAGCUGAAAUCAGUCGAAGAUACCAGCUGGCUGCAACUGUUUAUUAAAAACACAGCACUGUGCAAACACGAAAGUGGACGUAUACGGUGUGACGCCUGCCCGGUGCCGGAAGGUUAAUUGAUGGGGUUAGCGCAAGCGAAGCUCUUGAUCGAAGCCCCGGUAAACGGCGGCCGUAACUAUAACGGUCCUAAGGUAGCGAAAUUCCUUGUCGGGUAAGUUCCGACCUGCACGAAUGGCGUAAUGAUGGCCAGGCUGUCUCCACCCGAGACUCAGUGAAAUUGAACUCGCUGUGAAGAUGCAGUGUACCCGCGGCAAGACGGAAAGACCCCGUGAACCUUUACUAUAGCUUGACACUGAACAUUGAGCCUUGAUGUGUAGGAUAGGUGGGAGGCUUUGAAGUGUGGACGCCAGUCUGCAUGGAGCCGACCUUGAAAUACCACCCUUUAAUGUUUGAUGUUCUAACGUUGACCCGUAAUCCGGGUUGCGGACAGUGUCUGGUGGGUAGUUUGACUGGGGCGGUCUCCUCCUAAAGAGUAACGGAGGAGCACGAAGGUUGGCUAAUCCUGGUCGGACAUCAGGAGGUUAGUGCAAUGGCAUAAGCCAGCUUGACUGCGAGCGUGACGGCGCGAGCAGGUGCGAAAGCAGGUCAUAGUGAUCCGGUGGUUCUGAAUGGAAGGGCCAUCGCUCAACGGAUAAAAGGUACUCCGGG